UACGAAGGGGCUAGCGUUGCUCGGAAUCACUGGGCGUAAAGCGCACGUAGGCGGCUUUCUAAGUCAGGGGUGAAAUCCUGGAGCUCAACUCCAGAACUGCCUUUGAUACUGGAGAGCUUGAGUCCGGGAGAGGUGAGUGGAACUCCGAGUGUAGAGGUGAAAUUCGUAGAUAUUCGGAAGAACACCAGUGGCGAAGGCGGCUCACUGGCCCGGUACUGACGCUGAUGUGCGAAAGCGUGGGGAGCAAACAGGG
rnacentral:rRNA from 1 species